rnacentral:rRNA from 1 species
CCUACGGGGUGCUGCAGUCGAGAAUCAUUCACAAUGGGGGAAACCCUGAUGGUGCGACGCCGCGUGGGGGAAUGAAGGUCUUCGGAUUGUAAACCCCUGUCGUGUGGGAGCAAAUGACAAAGAUAGUACCACAAGAGGAAGAGACGGCUAACUCUGUGCCAGCAGCAGCGGUAAUACAGAGGGCGCAAGCGUUGUUCGCAGUCAGUGGGCGUAAAGCGGGCGGAGGCGGUUGCGUAAGUCGUGUGUGAAAGGCGCGGGCUCAACCCGCGGACUGCACAUGAUACUGCGAGACUAGAGUAAUGGAGGGGUAACCGGAAUUCUCGGUGUAGCAGUGAAAUGCGUAGAUA